UGGCACAGUGGUUAAGUGCUCAGCUGCUAACUGAAAGGUUGGAGGUUCAAACCCUCC
rnacentral:tRNA from 1 species